AGUGGGGUAGAGCAGUCUGGUAGCUCGUAAGGCUCAUAACCUUAAGGUCAUAGGUUCAAAUCCUAUUCCCACUC
rfam:Auxenochlorella protothecoides strain 0710 contig1039, whole genome shotgun sequence.